rnacentral:tRNA from 1 species
GCGGUACUAGCUCAGUAGGUAGUCUAUCCCCACAGCGCAGGUCUCAUAUCUGGAGUUAUCCUGAGGUCGUGAGUUCGAAUUUAAUUCUCACGUACCGCA